GGAAACGGGUGGUAAUGCCGGAUGCUCCAGUUGAUCGCAUGGUCUUCUGGGAAAGCUUUCGCGGUAUGGGAUGGGGUCGCGUCCUAUCAGCUUGACGGCGGGGUAACGGCCCACCGUGGCUUCGACGGGUAGCCGGCCUGAGAGGGCGACCGGCCACAUUGGGACUGAGAUACGGCCCAGACUCCUACGGGAGGCAGCAGUGGGGAAUAUUGCACAAUGGGCGCAAGCCUGAUGCAGCGACGCCGCGUGAGGGAUGGAGGCCUUCGGGUUGUAAACCUCUUUUAUCGGGGAGCAAGCGAGAGUGAGUUUACCCGUUGAAUAAGCACCGGCUAACUACGUGCCAGCAGCCGCGGUAAUACGUAGGGUGCAAGCGUUAUCCGGAAUUAUUGGGCGUAAAGGGCUCGUAGGCGGUUCGUCGCGUCCGGUGUGAAAGUCCAUCGCUUAACGGUGGAUCCGCGCCGGGUACGGGCGGGCUUGAGUGCGGUAGGGGAGACUGGAAUUCCCGGUGUAACGGUGGAAUGUGUAGAUAUCGGGAA
rnacentral:rRNA from 1 species